rnacentral:ribozyme from 13 species
AAACAAGUUUUUGAAAUAAAUAAUUUCACAAAUUUCCUUUUUGUUUAUCUCUCUUCUCUUCUCCUUUCUUUACCUUCUCUCUUUACCUUCUCUUUUCUCUCAAUUUUUUCUCCAAAUUUUUCAAAACGAGUCAAGA